GAUUGGUGCUUGCAUCAUGAUUUACAUUUGAGUGAGUGGCGAACUGGUGAGUAACACGUGGGAAACCUGCCCAGAAGCGGGGGAUAACACCUGGAAACAGAUGCUAAUACCGCAUAACAACUUGGACCGCAUGGUCCGAGYUUGAAAGAUGGCUUCGGCUAUCACUUUUGGAUGGUCCCGCGGCGUAUUAGCUAGAUGGUGRGGUAACGGCUCACCAUGGCAAUGAUACGUAGCCGACCUGAGAGGGUAAUCGGCCACAUUGGGACUGAGACACGGCCCAAACUCCUACGGGAGGCAGCAGUAGGGAAUCUUCCACAAUGGACGAAAGUCUGAUGGAGCAACGCCGCGUGAGUGAAGAAGGGUUUCGGCUCGUAAAACUCUGUUGUUAAAGAAGAACAUAUCUGAGAGUAACUGUUCAGGUAUUGACGGUAUUUAACCAGAAAGCCACGGCUAACUACGUGCCAGCAGCCGCGGUAAUACGUAGGUGGCAAGCGUUGUCCGGAUUUAUUGGGCGUAAAGCGAGCGCAGGCGGUUUUUUAAGUCUGAUGUGAAAGCCUUCGGCUCAACCGAAGAAGUGCAUCGGAAACUGGGAAACUUGAGUGCAGAAGAGGACAGUGGAACUCCAUGUGUAGCGGUGAAAUGCGUAGAUAUAUGGAAGAACACCAGUGGCGAAGGCGGCUGUCUGGUCUGUAACUGACGCUGAGGCUCGAAAGUAUGGGUAGCAAACAGGAUUAGAUACCCUGGUAGUCCAUACCGUAAACGAUGAAUGCUAAGUGUUGGAGGGUUUCCGCCCUUCAGUGCUGCAGCUAACGCAUUAAGCAUUCCGCCUGGGGAGUACGGCCGCAAGGCUGAAACUCAAAGGAAUUGACGAGGGCCCGCACAGGCGGUGGAGCAUGUGGCUUAAUUCGAAGCUACG
rnacentral:rRNA from 1 species